UACGGAGGGUGCGAGCGUUGUCCGGAAUCACUGGGCGUAAAGGGCGCGUAGGUGGCUCGUGAAGCGUGCGGUGAAAGUCCGAGGCUCAACCUCGGAUCGGCCGUGCGGACUCGCGGGCUCGAGCGUUGUAGAGGCGGGUGGAAUUCCGGGUGUAGCGGUGGAAUGCGUAGAUAUCGGGAGGAACACCUGUGGCGAAAGCGGCGCACUGGACCACAACUGACGCUGAGGCGCGAAAGCUAGGGGAGCAAACAGG
rnacentral:rRNA from 1 species